GGGGGUAUAGCUCAGCUGGGAGAGCAGCAGACUGAAGUUGCAGUGCCUGAUCAUUAUCUCCAUCUAUUCUGAAGGUCCCGCGUUCGAUCCGCGGUACCCCCA